GAUGAAGAACGCAGCGAAAUGCGAUACGUAAUGUGAAUUGCAGAAUUCAGUGAAUCAUCGAAUCUUUGAACGCAUAUUGCGCUCUCUGGUAUUCCGGAGAGCAUGCUUGUUUGAGUAUCAGUAAACACCUCAACUUCCAUAUCUUUUUUGAAAUGGGAGUUGGACUUGAGUGAUCCCAACGCUUUUCCUCACCGAAAAGUGGCGGGUUACUUGAAAUGCAGGUGCAGCUGGACUUUUCUCUGAGCUAUAAGCAUAUCUAUUUAGUCUGCCUAAAAAACAGAUUAUUACCUUUGCUGCAGCUAACAUAAAGGAGAUUAGUUCUUGUGCUGACUGAUGCAGGAUUCACAAAGACGGCUUCGGCCGACUUUGUAAACUCGAUCUCAAAUCAAGUAAGACUACCCGCUGAACUUAAGCAUAUUCAAUAAGCGGAGGA
rnacentral:misc_RNA from 1 species